rnacentral:rRNA from 1 species
GAUGAACGCUGGCGGCGUGCCUAAUACAUGCAAGUCGAGCGAACGGACGCGACUCUUGCUUCUCUGAUGUUAGCGGCGCACGGGUGAGUCACACGUGUAUACCCCACCUAUAAGACUGGGAUAACUUCGGGACACCGUAGCUAAUACCGGAUAAUCUUUUGAACCGCAUGGUUCAAAAGUGAAAGACGGUCUUGCUGUCACUUAUCGCUGGAUCCGCGCUGCAUUAGCUAGUUGGUAAGGUAACGGCUUACCAAGGCAACGAUGCCUAGCCGACCGGCGAGGCGGAUCGGCGACACGGGAGGUGAGACGCGGUCCAGACUCCUGCGGGAGGCAGCAGUAGGGAAUCGGACGCAAUGGGCGAAAGCCUGACGGAGCAACGCGGCGUGAGUGAUGGAGGUCUUCGGAGCGGAAAACUCGGUUAUGAGGGAAGAACAGAUGUGGAAGUAACUGUGCACAGCUUGACGGUACCUAGUCAGAAAGCCACGGCUAACUACGUG